GUGCUUGCUCUGCAGCACAGAUACUAAAAUUGGAACAGUAAGGAAGAUCAGCAUGGUCCCUAUGCAAGGGCGACACCAAAUUUGUGAAGCGUUCCAUAAAAAA